rnacentral:rRNA from 1 species
GACAGAGGGUGCAAACGUUGUUCGGAUUUACUGGGCGUAAAGCGCGUGUAGGCGGCUUUGCAAGUCGGAUGUGAAAUCCCACAGCUCAACCGUGGAAGUGCAUCCGAAACUGCAUCGCUCGAGUCUCGGAGAGGAAGGUGGAAUGCUUGGUGUAGAGGUGAAAUUCGUAGAUAUCAAGCAGAACACCUGCGGCGAAGGCGGCCUUCUGGACGAUGACUGACGCUGAGACGCGAAAGCGUGGGGAGCAAACAGG